rnacentral:rRNA from 1 species
AGAGUUUGAUCCUGGCUCAGGAUGAACGCUAGCGGCAGGCUUAACACAUGCAAGUCGAGGGGUAGAUUACUUCGGUAAUUGAGACCGGCGCACGGGUGCGUAACGCGUAUACAAUCUACCUUUUACAGAGGGAUAGCCCAGAGAAAUUUGGAUUAAUACCUCAUAGUAUUUUUGAAUCGCAUGAUUUGAUUAUUAAAGUUCCAACGGUAAAAGAUGAGUAUGCGUCCCAUUAGCUAGAUGGUAAGGUAACGGCUUACCAUGGCAACGAUGGGUAGGGGUCCUGAGAGGGAGAUCCCCCACACUGGUACUGAGACACGGACCAGACUCCUACGGGAGGCAGCAGUGAGGAAUAUUGGACAAUGGGCGCAAGCCUGAUCCAGCCAUGCCGCGUGCAGGAAGAAGGUCCUAUGGAUUGUAAACUGCUUUUAUACAGGAAGAAACACCUCUACGUGUAGAGACUUGACGGUACUGUAUGAAUAAGGACCGGCUAACUCCGUGCCAGCAGCCGCGGUAAUACGGAGGGUCCAAGCGUUAUCCGGAAUCAUUGGGUUUAAAGGGUCCGUAGGCGGUUUAAUAAGUCAGUGGUGAAAGCCCAUCGCUCAACGAUGGAACGGCCAUUGAUACUGUUAAACUUGAAUUAUUAGGAAGUAACUAGAAUAUGUAGUGUAGCGGUGAAAUGCUUAGAGAUUACAUGGAAUACCAAUUGCGAAGGCAGGUUACUACUAAUAUAUUGACGCUGAUGGACGAAAGCGUGGGGAGCGAACAGGAUUAGAUACCCUGGUAGUCCACGCCGUAAACGAUGGAUACUAGCUGUUCGGAGCAAUCUGAGUGGCUAAGCGAAAGUGAUAAGUACCCCACCUGGGGAGUACGUUCGCAAGAAUGAAACUCAAAGGAAUUGACGG